rnacentral:rRNA from 1 species
CGUGCUUACACAUGCAGUCGAACGAUGAACCUCACUUGUGGGGGGAUUAGUGGCGAACGGGUGAGUAACACGUGAGUAACCUGCCCUUGACUCUGGGAUAAGCCUGGGAAACCGGGUCUAAUACUGGAUACGACCUUCCCGCGCAUGCGGUGUUGGUGGAAAGCUUUUGCGGUUUUGGAUGGACUCGCGGCCUAUCAGCUUGUUGGUGGGGUAAUGGCCUACCAAGGCGACCACCGGUAGCCGGCCUGAGAGGGUGACCGGCCACACUGGGACUGAUACACGGCCCAGACUCCUACCGGAGGCAGCAGUGGGGAAUAUUGCACAAUGGGCGCAAGCCUGAUGCAGCGACGCCCCGUGAGGGAUGAAGGCCUUCGGGUUGUAAACCUCUUUCAGUAGGGAAGAAGCUGGCCUUUGGGUUGAUGACGGUACCUGCAGAAGAAGCGCCGGCUAACUACUGCCA